rnacentral:lncRNA from 1 species
GAAGAGACAAAGGUAUGGGGAAUCCAAUUAUAACCUAGCUCUCAGAGCAAAGCAAAGCGAAAGUGCCUUAAACUCGCUAACAAAACAAAGGUCAGAGACCUAGAGUUGUUUCAGUUCUGCUCUGCAGGCCCAGGAGAUUCAGAACUGAGAAGAUAGCUAGGCUUAACUUCUUGAUGGUUUGAGAAUGAGGGAGGAGAGUGGAGGCAAAGCUGGGUGACGAAAGAGAGGCAUGGGGGAGGAAUUAUUACCCUAGAAACUAACAACAUAAAACUGUCAGGGUCCCAGCAGCUGCAACUCUAGGCCUAAAUGAGGUGAGCUGUCUUGGAGAACUGAAGUUCUGCCCCUUCCCUUCCUGACUUCAACACCACCUACCUCUUCUCUCUGGAGACUAGGCCUGGGGAUUACAUCUUAGACCGGGGACUGUGGAAGUUCAGCUAUGAAGAACUCUUUGGGGAAUCAUUCCCCCACCCCAAGAUUCCCAACUGGAAAUUAACUACUUGCUUGGGAAGAAAUGCAACCGGGGCAAGCUUCAACACCUGGAAGGCUGAGUUCAAGGAAGCCAACUACCCGGGUCGAAGUGAAGAAACCCCAGCAGACAGAGGCCCGCCGCCCACCUGUCAGCGGAGUAAUGAAUGCUUGCUCGGGGCCCUGGGCCCCCCUGGAGUCGUUCAUCACUGCCAGAACCGCCUACCUCUGCCUUCCGCCCGGAGGGCUUUGCGGCCGGGGCUGCAAGACCCUCUCUCCCCCCACCUCGAUCACUAAUUGUCAGAUUGAGAUGUUGAUUUGUCAGCUGGGAGCUAGCGCCAAAGAAUCUGCAGUAAAACCUGG